rnacentral:rRNA from 1 species
UGUAAAAUUUUAAAGGUCGAACAGACCCAAUAUUUUAGCUUCUACACCAAAAAUUUAUUUUAAUCCAACAUCGAGGUCGCAAUCUUUUUUUUUAAUAUGAACUUUCUAAAAAAAUUACGCUGUUAUCCCUAAGGUAAUUUUAUCUUAUAAUCAAAAUUAUUGGRUCAUUUAUUCAUAAAUUAAUGUUCUAAAAUAAAAAAAGUUUAUUAAAUUUUUCAAUCACCCCAAUUAAAUUAUUAAAUAAAUUAAAUAAUUAAAUACUAAAAUAUUAUCAUUAUUUAAUAAUAAAACUCUAUAGGGUCUUCUCGUCUUUUAAUAUUAAUUAAGCUUUUUAACUUAAAAAUAAAAUUUUAAUUAAAUUUAAUAGAGACAGUCAUUUUCUUAUAAAACCUUUCAUUCCAGUUUCUAAUUAAGAAACUAAUGAUUAUGCUACCUUAGCACGGUCAAAAUACCACGGCCAUUUAAAAAUAUCAGUGGGCAGGCCCGACCUUAAAUUAUGAACAAAAGGAC